AUUGAACGCUGGCGGCAGGCCUAACACAUGCAAGUCGAGCGGAUGAAGGGAGCUUGCUCCUGGAUUCAGCGGCGGACGGGUGAGUAAUGCCUAGGAAUCUGCCUGGUAGUGGGGGAUAACGUCCGGAAACGGGCGCUAAUACCGCAUACGUCCUGAGGGAGAAAGUGGGGGAUCUUCGGACCUCACGCUAUCAGAUGAGCCUAGGUCGGAUUAGCUAGUUGGUGGGGUAAAGGCCUACCAAGGCGACGAUCCGUAACUGGUCUGAGAGGAUGAUCAGUCACACUGGAACUGAGACACGGUCCAGACUCCUGCGGGAGGCAGCAGUGGGGAAUAUUGGGCGAUGGGCGAAAGCCUGAUCCAGCCAUGCCGCGUGUGUGAAGAAGGUCUUCGGAUUGUAAAGCACUUUAAGUUGGGAGGAAGGGCAGUAAGUUAAUACCUUGCUGUUUUGACGUUACCAACAGAAUAAGCACCGGCUAACUUCGUG
rnacentral:rRNA from 1 species